UACGGAGGGUGCAAGCGUUAAUCGGAAUUACUGGGCGUAAAGCGUGCGUAGGCGGUUCGUUAAGUCUGUUGUGAAAGCCCCGGGCUCAACCUGGGAAUGGCAAUGGAUACUGGCGAGCUAGAGUGUGUCAGAGGAUGGUGGAAUUCCCGGUGUAGCGGUGAAAUGCGUAGAGAUCGGGAGGAACAUCAGUGGCGAAGGCGGCCAUCUGGGCAGUGGCUGACGCUGAGGCGCGACAGCGUGGGGAGCAAACAGG
rnacentral:rRNA from 1 species